CAGAAGUCGACACGGAAGUCACAAGAAAGUAGCAAGAAGUAUCAGGAGGUGAAACUUUACUAUGGAUCGAAGAGGACAUGGAUCCCGACCGAAUGUCAACCAGCAGGUUUCGAUAUAAUCAGGUCAUAACCUACUUCUUGUCUUUAUGCAACAACAUGGACAGGAUGGAAAGUCCCCGUCACAUGUCCUCCCGAUAUAAGACACCUCUGGCAGCCUUCAACCCCCCCCCCUCUUCAAGCUUUAAACUGGCCUUGGACAUCUGGCAGACAGACGCUGCAGGAAGGAUGUGGGGGGACGGGACAUAACUCCAGCCUCUGUUGAUGGGGAACUUCACUUCAGGUGAAGCCGCGUCCUACUCGACCAGGUGUUGAGCGGAGAUGGUUUUACGGGCGCAUGCGGCGACCUGUCUGGCCUUUACGAGCCACAGGCGGUACAUCUCGUCUGCCGGGAUUCCAGAUAGAGACCUGUAGCGGCCUGUUGGACACCUUUGGACCUGUUUGGGGGCGGAGCUUGACACUCUAGAAGCUUGGUGGGAUGCCAUAGAAGACAGGUGAAGCUUUACCAUGGAUCAGAGCGGUCAAGCGAACAUGGUUCCCGACCACUUGUCAACCGGCAGGUUUGGGUGAGAAAAUUGUGGUAAAAAGUCGCCUCUUACCAGAGAUCAGCUAAGCUUGCGCCGUCCAUGCAGCUGCCGUCGACUUCCCUCAGAGACUGGCCUCAAGACACCCGUGGACACACCCCCUUUGACUAUCAGGAGAUGAAAGAAGCCCCAGCAGGUUUCCUUGGGGGUGGUAGUUGGAGCAGAAACACCUGGCCGCAGUUACACCUGCCACUCAGCAGAGGGCGUCUUCCCCCCCCCUUCUUUGCCACUUUCUCUUUAAGCAGGUU